rnacentral:rRNA from 1 species
AGAUUGAACGCUGGCGGCAUGCCUAACACAUGCAAGUCGAACGGCAGCGCGGGUAGCAAUACCUGGCGGCGAGUGGCGGACGGGUGAGGAAUACAUAGGAAUCUACCCUGUCGUGGGGGAUAACGUAGGGAAACUUACGCUAAUACCGCAUACGACCGAGAGGUGAAAGCGGCGGACCGCAAGGCGUCGCGCGGCUGGAUGAGCCUAUGUCCGAUUAGCUAGUUGGCGGGGUAAGAGCCCACCAAGGCACGAUCGGUAGCUGGUCUGAGAGGAUGAUCAGCCACACGUGGGACUGAGACACGGCCCUAGACUCCUACGGGAGCCAGCAGUGGGGAAUAGUGGACUAAGUGGG